rnacentral:misc_RNA from 1 species
GGAGAUGUUUGUUUCACCAUGAAAACGUCCUUGAAAUGGAUGUAAUCUGGACAUCCUAUUCCAAGAACCCCAUUUCAAUUUUAACUUUGAGAUAAUUAAAUAUAAUUCAAAUAUUCAAUGGUAAAAGUAGAAAUUAUACUACAAAAUUAGAACCCAUUUCCACCUAACUUCAAUUAAACAUAAAAAUCUCAUAAAUAAUUAAGAUUCCUUUUAUACCAAAUAAGAAAAUGCCAUCCCACUACAGUAAUUGCAUUUCUU